GAUGAACGCUGGCGGCGUGCCUAAUACAUGCAAGUCGAGCGAACAGAUGAGGAGCUUGCUCCUCUGACGUUAGCGGCGGACGGGUGAGUAACACGUGGAUAACCUACCUAUAAGGCUGGGAUAACUUCGGGAAACCGGAGCUAUACCGGAUAAUAUAUUGAACCGCAUGGUUCAAUAGUGAAAGACGGUUUUGCUGUCACUUAUAGAUGGAUCCGCGCCGCAUUAGCUAGUUGGUAAGGUAACGGCUUACCAAGGCAACGAUGCGUAGCCGACCUGAGAGGGUGAUCGGCCACACUGGAACUGAGACACGGUCCAGACUCCUACGGGAGGCAGCAGUAGGGAAUCUUCCGCAAUGGGCGAAAGCCUGACGGAGCAACGCCGCGUGAGUGAUGAAGGUCUUCGGAUCGUAAAACUCUGUUAUUAGGGAAGAACAAAUGUGUAAGUAACUAUGCACGUCUUGACGGUACCUAAUCAGAAAGCCACGGCUAACUACGUG
rnacentral:rRNA from 1 species